rnacentral:rRNA from 1 species
AGAGUUUGAUCAUGGCUCAGAUUGAACGCUGGCGGCAUGCUUGACACAUGCAAGUCGAACGGCAGCGCGGGCUUCGGCCUGGCGGCGAGUGGCGAACGGGUGAGUAAUACAUCGGAACGUGUCUGUUAGAGGGGGAUAGCCCGACGAAAGUCGGAUUAAUACCGCAUACGCUCUACGGAGGAAAGCGGGGGACCUUCGGGCCUCGCGCUAACAGGGCGGCCGAUGUCAGAUUAGCUUGUUGGUGGGGUAAAGGCCUACCAAGGCAGUGAUCUGUAGUUGGUCUGAGAGGAUGGCCAGCCACACUGGGACUGAGACACGGCCCAGACUCCUACGGGAGGCAGCAGUGGGGAGUUUUGGACAAUGGGGGCAACCCUGAUCCAGCAAUGCCGCGUGUGUGAAGAAGGCCUUCGGGUUGUAAAGCACUUUUGUUCGGGAAGAAAAUAUCUGUGCGAAUACCAUGGAUAGAUGACGGUACCGGAAGAAUAAGCACCGGCUAACUACGUGCCAGCAGCCGCGGUAAUACGUAGGGUGCGAGCGUUAAUCGGAAUAAUUGGGCGUAAAGGGUGCGCAGGCGGUAAGCUAAGACGGAUGUGAAAGCCCCGGGCUCAACCUGGGAAUGGCAUACGUGACUGGCUCACUAGAAUAUGGCAGAGGGAGGUAGAAUUCCACAUGUAGCAGUGAAAUGCGUAGAUAUGUGGAGGAACACCGAUGGCGAAGGCAGCCUCCUGGGUCAAUAUUGACGCUCAGGCACGAAAGCGUGGGGAGCAAACAGGAUUAGAUACCCCCGUAGUCC